GAGGCUCAGGAGGUCCCCCUACAUGGAUUCUGGCACCACGUGAGGGAGGUUAAGGAGGACAGUGGUGGAGCCCUCCUGUCCCAUAGACUCCAGAGACCCUCCAGGGAGGCUUGAAAGACAGAUUUCAACAAUCCAAAGACAGGUUUGCACCUAUGUAACAAAACAAGAAAGGACAGGAGACAUCAGCAAACGGAAUCAUGGAGUCUGGGAAGAAGAUGAACAUCUGGGAGAGAGCUAUGGAAGCCUUAAUUCUGCGGAUGGAUCUAACGACUUCAAGGAACUCUAGACAAAACUUAGAGUAUCGUGAGAAGGAAGUACAAGAAAAAAAAACAUUUAUUCUGAGAAUCUAAAAUCUGGUCAAAAAAAUAAUGAACUUCAGAGAUCACCCACAUGGAAUUUUGUUUUUCCCCCUAAUAUACUAACAAUCUAACAAGAAAAACAAAAGAAAACAUGGCCCCUUAAAACAGUGCUGUCCAGUCUGCCUGUGGUUAUGUGGUUCAAAGUUUCCAUGUUCUACUGAGGUAUGGCCUGCACAUUUUGGUUACCGAAGAUGAAAGAAAAACGAGGAAAACAAAAUACCGUCUUCCUCAGUACACAUUGUAACUCCAAAGGAAAUUCAUUAAUGAUACCAUUCAUCCCACUAGAAACAAAACAGAAGCUCUUGUAAUUCUCAGUUGCUGAGUAAAGAAAAACAAAAUUAGAACUGAUCACUACACCUCAAACCUCCAAGACACCCAGCCAGCAUGCACCCUGACAACCAGGCUUCCACAGUCCUCAUCCUCAAUAGUUGAGGGCUGAGCACCCUGAGCCCCGGCCUCGGAGAGAAGUCAGGAGCCGAAGGCACCUGGGCCGCUUCUGCUGCAUUGGUUUUGGCUUGCUGAGAUAGUGUCACCUAGGUCCCAGGGACAACUAGGGGAUGUCGAGGCCAGGGCUGAGGCUGGCCCAGGGCUCUGUCCAGUUCUCCUGGAGUGGCCUUUGGGACUGCUGCUUGGACCACUCCUGGACAGAAUCACUCUGCUGGCUGUCAGCAAGAUGUACCAGGCAUUUUCAAAGACAGUUUCAAGGUUGCAAGAAGAUUGUUCUAAACUGUUCUAGGCAGCUGCUUGGGGUUGGGAACUCCUGACAACCUGACAUUGAGGUCUGGUAUGGGGCUGAACAGUUUCUAAAUCCUUUCUAAAUUUAAAAAGAAAGAAAGAAAGAAAGAAAGAAAGAAAGAAAGAAAGAAAGAAAGAAAGAAAAGCAGGUUUCUUUUGAGACUAAAUUGCAGGCUCAGUAUUUAAAAAAGAAAAAGGAAAACUGAAAAACAGACAUCCAUUUGCUAGGCAAACACCACCAUGACCUGACUUCUCAACUUGUGACCUAUUUUUAUGUUACUUUUACUUCAUUCCUUAAAAUCGUCUAUUGUUUUCUGUGACAUCUGUGCUAACUAUUUUCAGAGAUUCUCCACCCGCCAUUGACGCUAUCCUCCCUGUGAUACUAGCAACUUAUGCGAACAGUUUCUAGUGGCUCUCAUCCUAUUGGAUGCUCUUGACAUUUAAGUAUCAAUAUGUGACAAACAUUGCAGUUAUUGCUGUCGCCUUAUGCAAAGAAGAAUGAGUAAAAGAUGAAUUUCAAAAGUUUAAAAUCAAAAGAAAAAAGAAAGCAUGCUAAACAAGCCAUGGGGAGCAAGCCAGUAAGCAGCACUCCUCCAUGGCCUCUGCAUCAGCUCCUGCCUCCAGUUUCCAGCAAUGCUUGAUUCCCUGUCCUGACUUCUUCAGUGAUGGAUGACAAUUUGGAAGUGUAAGCCAAAAAAGCAUCUAGUGCAAUUUGGAAUUGUAAUUAGGAUAUUCUGUACCAUCUGCAGCGCUUCUGUAAUUCUCCAGCUCCACUCAGAUUACAUCAUGAAGAAAGCCGGAGCUGGAGUCUGAUUUUCAUUCUGGAAAACCCAGUAGCACCCAUGCCAUGUUUAUCCUCAGGGAGUGUUUGAUAUUGGUUAAUCAACAAUAAAGUUUACUUCUGGCUUCCACUA